rnacentral:lncRNA from 1 species
ACAUACACCUACUUGCACUAUAUAUAAACAAGGGAAAACUUCAAAUACCCCCCGUGAUUUCGUACUUUCUCACUUUAGUAUCCUGUGGUUUAAAGUGUAUCAAGUUAACUCUGUGGUUUCGCACUUUCUCACUUUAGUACCCUGUGAUUUAAAAUGUAUCAAGUUAGUACUCUGUGGUUUCAUUUUUGUAUCAAGUUAGUACCCUGUGGUUUUAUUUUUUUCUUUUUAUUAUCCAUUUUAGAGUAUUUUUUUCGUUAAAUCAGUGACAAAGUUAAAACUAAGGGGUACUAAAAUAAAUAUUCGAUAAACCUAGAUAGGAUAUCUGAAGUUUUUUGUAUAUAAUUUAACGGAAUAUUAACCCACAUGGUACUAAAGUAAGAAAGUGCGAAAUCACAUGGUACUAUAACUUGAUACACUUUAAACCACAGGUUACUAAAGUGAGAAAGUGCGAAAUCAUAGGGUAUUAAUUUGAUAUAUUUUAAACCACAGGGUACUAAAGUGCGUAAGUGCGAAACCACAUGGGGGUAUUUUAAGUUU